AGACGACGCUGCGGCACGCUAACACAUGCAAGUCGAGCGCACCUUCGGGUGAGCGGCGGACGGGUUAGUAACGCGUGGGAACGUACCCUUUUCUGCGGAAUAGCCUCUGGAAACGGAGAGUAAUACCGCAUACGCCCUUCGGGGGAAAGAUUUAUCGGUGAAGGAUCGGCCCGCGUUAGAUUAGAUAGUUGGUGGGGUAAUGGCCUACCAAGUCUACGAUCUAUAGCUGGUUUGAGAGGAUGAUCAGCAACACUGGGACUGAGACACGGCCCAGACUCCUACGGGAGGCAGCAGUGGGGAAUCUUAGACAAUGGGGGAAACCCUGAUCUAGCGAUGCCGCGUGUGUGACGAAGGCCUUAGGGUCGUAAAGCACUUUCGCCAGGGAUGAUAAUGACAGUACCGUGUAAAAAACCCCGGCUAACUCCU
rnacentral:rRNA from 1 species